AGAUUGAACGCUGGCGGCAUGCCUAACACAUGCAAGUCGAACGGGAGUAGCAAUACUCUAGUGGCGGACGGGUGAGGAAUACGUAGGAAUUUGCCCUUAAGUGGGGGAUAACCCGGGAACCCGGAUUAAUACCGCGAUGACCUCGAAAGAGCAAAGUGGGGGAUCGCAAGACCUCACGCUUUUGGAGAAGCCUACGUCGGAUUAGCUAGUUGGUGAGGUAACUGGCUCACCGAAGGCGACGAGUCCGUAACUGGUCUAGGAGAGGAUGAUCAGUCACACCGAACUGAGACACGGGUCCCGGACUCCCGUACGGGACGGCGGCCGAGGGU
rnacentral:rRNA from 1 species